rnacentral:misc_RNA from 1 species
GUGUGCGUGUACACACCAAUAUACACCCGGAUAGAAGGGAUAGAGGGGGGGAAAAAAAAAGAAUUAACAAGCAGUAUAUACAUGUAAGAUAAAAUCAAAAUACUAUCAAAAUAAAACUCAAGAACAUGCAAGCAUUAAAUACGUAUUGAAAGUUAAAUUUUUGAGCUGUGGAACCAGCCACAGGUUAAAAGUAAGCAAGUAAUUAAAACAAAAUUUAAAUUUGGGCCAAAGGACUAGCCACUGAUAGAAAGUAAACAAGUCAAAGAAGAUUUCUUGUGAAUUAAUACUUCAGAAAACAAAAUACAAAGCUUUAAAGUUUUGGCUUAACAAAAUGAAUGCUAUCCGAAUUUUACAAAGGAGAAAAGAGGGUUUUAGAUGUAGGAGAGGA